AUUGAACGCUGGCGGCAUGCUUUACACAUGCAAGUCGAACGGCAGCGCGGGCUUCGGCCUGGCGGCGAGUGGCGAACGGGUGUGUAAUGCAUCGGAACGUGCCCAGUAGUGGGGGAUAGCCCGGCGAAAGCCGGAUUAAUACCGCAUUCGACCUGAGGGUGAAAGCGGGGGCCCGAAAGGCCUCGCGCUAUUGGAGCGGUCGAUGUCGGAAUAGCUAGUUGGUGGGGUAAAGGCUUACCAAGGCGACGAUCCGUAGCUGGUCUGUGAGGAAGACCAGCCACACUGGGACUGAGACACGGCCCAGACUCCUACGGGAGGCAGCAGUGGGGAAUUUUGGACAAUGGGGGCAACCCUGAUCCAGCCAUGCCGCGUGCGGGAAGAAGGCCUUCGGGUUGUAAACCGCUUUUGUUCGGGAAGAAAUCCUCUGGGCUAAUACCCCGGGGGGAUGACGGUACCGGAAGAAUAAGCACCGGCUAACUACGUG
rnacentral:rRNA from 1 species